rnacentral:lncRNA from 1 species
UUUUAAAAGUCGAUCAUGAAUUCUUUGUUUUGGGAUGAUUGUUUUGUAAUCGAGUGAUUGGAAGAAGUUAAUAUGGCGACGUGAACAUAGGAGUAAAUACCGUAUACGUCGAUCUAUGGCUUGUUUAAAACCGUAAUAAACGAAGAAAGACGUGAUUUGAGAAUGAAAUGUAAGUUGAAAUUAACUUUUUAUGCCUCAAAUUUUCCAUCCUAUGUUUCAUAAUGUAAUUUCAGCUGUCUAAGUUCAAAAUACAAGCUCUCGAAAUUUGACAAAUUUUGAAAAUAUGUAAAAAUAGCUUGACUUUGAACUGUAGUUUCUCAAAAAUAGCCCGUGGCCUCAAUUUCAAAUAUAGCUAAAUGAAAAGAAAAAACUUUUCGGCGUUUGUAGGUAUCAAACAUAUCGUCAGGAAAAUAGGGGCUCACAAUGUUUUAGUUCAGUCUUUGAGACCCAGUUGCUUCGCACGUGUUGUGGUCAAAUUUUUGCCAAGAAUCAAAGGCCGAAAUGUGAACUUCCUUCAUGAAAACCGCUUCGAG